rnacentral:rRNA from 1 species
CGGGGCGACGUUCGAUCUAUAUCCAUACGACUCUCGGCAACGGAUAUCUCGGCUCUCGCAUCGAUGAAGAACGUAGCGAAAUGCGAUACUUGGUGUGAAUUGCAGAAUCCCGUGAACCAUCGAGUCUUUGAACGCAAGUUGCGCCCGAGGCCUUUCGGCCGA